rnacentral:rRNA from 1 species
AUUGAACGCUGGCGCCAUGCUUUACACAUGCCAGUCGAACGGCAGCGCGGGGGCAACCCUGGCGGCGAGUGGCGAACGGGUGAGUAAUGCAUCGGAACGUAUCCUGUAAUGGGGAUAACGUAGCGAAAGUUACGCUAAUACCGCAUACGCUCGAGAGAGGAAAGUGGGGAUCGCAAGACCUCACGUUAUAGGAGCGGCCGAUGUCCGAUUAGCUAGUUGGUGGGGUAAAGGCCUACCAAGGCGACGAUCGGUAGCUGGUCUGAGAGGAUGAUCAGCCACACUGGGACUGAGACACGGCCCAGACUCCUACGGGAGGCAGCAGUGGGGAAUUUUGGACAAUGGGCGAAUGCCUGAUCCAGCCAUGCCGCGUGCGGGAAGAAGGCCUUC